UACAGAGGUCUCAAGCGUUGUUCGGAUUCAUUGGGCGUAAAGGGUGCGUAGGUGGCGCGCUAAGUCAGGUGUGAAAUUUCGGAGCUUAACUCCGAAACUGCAUUUGAUACUGGCGUGCUUGAGGACUGGAGAGGAGACUGGAAUUCACGGUGUAGCAGUGAAAUGCGUAGAUAUCGUGAGGAAGACCAGUGGCGAAGGCGGGUCUCUGGACAGUUCCUGACACUGAGACACGAAGGCCAGGGGAGCAAACGGG
rnacentral:rRNA from 1 species